GCUGUUCCUGUCCAGCUGGACAACUGGCAUCAACACCUUGCUCUCCCACUGCCCGCGAUUGCGUAGGCUCGCACUCACCAAUGUUUGUUUCGAUGAGGGUGACCUGAGGAUCAACUCACCAUUGCUGCAGGAGCUUGUUGUGGCCGGUGCGGGUGUGAUAUACCAUGUUAAUAUUGUUGCCCCCGUGCUAAAGCAUUUGGAUAUAUUGAUACACCUCGACCUGGAGACCAGCAUUUCCGUGUUGGCACCAAUGAUGGAGAAUGUCUAUUGGCACUGCUUUAUAUCAAACUAUACUAAGUUUGGUUUUUGGGAAGUCGGGGAGGUGACUCUAAAAUCGGUAGAGAGACAAGGAGUGCUAAAGAUUCAUGCAGAUGCUGGAUUGCCUACUUUUUUGAGGAAGGGGAGAAAUUUAUGCACGAGAUAGAGAGGCAUAUGAUUGCUGAGUUCUCUAUUUUGGAGCUGCAUCUCACAACAGAAGGACAUGUUUUUGGAGCAUUUGUCUGCCAUCUUCUUGGGAUGAAUCGAAUUCGGUGUGCUAUGCAGAGGCUUAAGGUCGACCUUCAGAGGCCAACGGUGAAAGGAAAAGUCUGUCCACCAAACUGUCCUUGUGAUUCUCCCGAUUGGAAAUCCCAAACUUUCUCUUUGACUUAUCUCGAAGAAGUGGAAUUCGACGGCUUUGAAGGAGAGGACCAUGAGCUUGAUUUGUUGAAAUUGAUUCUCAGAUGUGCACCUAUGCUGAAAAGAAUGAUUAUGAAGCUGUCAAAGGAGGCCUGGACAGGUUACAGCAGAUGCACCAAAAUAUACGACAUCUUCAAGGCGUAUACUUCCGUGGAAUGCUACAUUUAUCUUAGCACUGGGUUAAUGCAUGGCAGCCGGAACUGCCCACUGACAUGAUUCUCAUCAUUACAUCUGCGGAUUCAUGGUUUAAUGCAUGGCCGUGUGCUCCAUGAGCGAGCUCUGUUUCGAUGCUUACUGAACCAGAUUAUAACUAGAUUAGCUUGCUCUCUUCUUCUCUGAACUACUACACCCUGUAUGAUGAACAGGGAGAUAAAUAUGUAAUCGGUGCAGCUAUUUCCUGGGGA